GCACUGCUGAGGAGUCCCAUACAGGACGAAACGGCCGUCCAGUGC
rfam:Schistosoma curassoni strain Dakar, Senegal genome assembly, scaffold: SCTD_scaffold0004643